rnacentral:piRNA from 1 species
UAAGAGAAUUCAGUGUUGCUCUGAGGACAG